AUCUUAAUCUUGUCUGAGCCUCUCUUCUCUCCUUGUGUCUGUGUUGUGUCUGUCUCUGUCAUUCGUUCACCCUUUCAUAUUCAUAAUCAUAAUAAUGCAUACAUAACAUAACACAACAAACAAACCAACUCAUUCUCCAUCUUCAAUUCUCAAUUCUCAAAUCAUUCAAACCUUCAUUCUCUCUGCAAAUUCAAUUCAAAUACAACCCCACCAUUCUUUCCUUCCUCAAGCCUCCCAAAAAACAGCUUGAAACACACCACACACAAAAAAGAACCCCAUUAAACUUCACAGACACAAAGGUACACACGAAGAAGAAAAACUCGACGAGGAAUAAAAAAGUUCAGUUUUUUCUUUAGUGUGAUCAUCGUUUCGUCGAUGGCCACGGGACCCGAAAGAUCGAAGCCACUGCACAACUUCUCGUUGCCCUGUUUGAAAUGGGGCACCCAACGGUUACUUCGCUGCGUCAACGGCGACCUCGAUCGCCGAUCCUCGAGAUUCGACGCGCCCCAGAACGGCGUCGUUCGAGACCCCAACAAGCGCAAAAUGAACGACGGCGAUGCCGUUUUCUUGGGAGGACUCGGAGAAGAAGCUAGUGGCGUGGCCAACCAUGCCAUGAUGCCUUGGAAUUUGAGAACGAGAAGAGCUGCGUGCAAGGCACCGCAGAACGAAGAGGAGCGCAGGUUUUUGGACAUGGGGUGUUCUUUGCCGCAGGUGAAGGAAAAGAAGAAGAUGCUGGUGACGGGGAAUAAGAGAGUUAAGUUUUCUGUUUCCCUCUCUAAGGAGGAGGUGGAGCAGGAUUUCUGGGCCUUGGUUGGAACUAGGCCCCCCAGAAGGCCCAAGAAGAGGCCCAGGAUUGUGCAGAGGCAAUUGAAUACACUUUUUCCUGGUUUUUGGCUGGCUGAGGUCAGUGCAGAGUCAUACAAAGUGGCUGAUGUUCCUGAAUGAGGAACUUAAAUGAAUGGCUAAACAUGGUUCUGAUUCUGAAUGGAUGACCCGAAUAUUUUAGCUCACUGACUUCCCAUGUGUUGUGACAUAAAUAAUGUAAAUAGUUCAUUUUUGCUCAAAUGCUGGAGCUGUUAAAGUUUUUGUUCAUCCAUCACAGAGCAAGUUCAGUAUUCACUUUAGCAGAAUUUCCAAUGGUGUAGGUGGUAAAAUCUAUUGAGCCUAAUCUUUCUGUAAAUAUUAAUGCAAUGGCAUGGUUUUGUUGAAAGAAAUAUUCCAACUGAAAGAUUUAUGAGUUAUCCAUUUCUGUUACUAAAUUUCCCAUUCUUUUCACUUAACCUUGCGCACAAGUUUGUGACCAUUUAAGCCAUAUG